rnacentral:tRNA from 1 species
GGAGCGGUGUCCGUGUGGUUGAAGGAGGCGGUCUUGAAAACCGUUGUGCCGUAAGGUACCGGGGGUUCGAAUCCCCCCUGCUCCG